AUUGAUUUUAUGCUUGCAUAAAUGAUUUUUGGAUUCGGAGCGAGUGGCGAACUGGUGAGUAACACGUGGGUAACCUGCCCCGAAGCGGGGGAUAACAUUUGGAAACAAGUGCUAAUACCGCAUAAUUAGUUGGAACCGCAUGGUUCCAACUUGAAAGAUGGCUCUGCUAUCACUUUGGGAUGGACCCGCGCCGUAUUAGUUAGUUGGUGAGAUAAAAGCCCACCAAGACGAUGAUACGUAGCCGACCUGAGAGGGUAAUCGGCCACAUUGGGACUGAGACACGGCCCAGACUCCUACGGGAGGCAGCAGUAGGGAAUCUUCCACAAUGGACGAAAGUCUGAUGGAGCAACGCCGCGUGAGUGAUGAAGGUUUUCGGAUCGUAAAACUCUGUUGUUAAAGAAGAACAAGUGUUAGAGUAACUGUUAACACUUUGACGGUAUUUAACCAGAAAGCCACGGCUAACUACGUGCCAGCAGCCGCGGUAAUACGUAGGUGGCAAGCGUUGUCCGGAUUUAUUGGGCGUAAAGCGAGCGCAGGCGGUUUUGUAAGUCUGCUGUGAAAGCCCUCAGCUCAACUGAGGAAGUGCAGUGGAAACUACAAAACUUGAGUACAGAAGAGGAAAGUGGAACUCCAUGUGUAGCGGUGAAAUGCGUAGAUAUAUGGAAGAACACCAGUGGCGAAGGCGGCUUUCUGGUCUGUUACUGACGCUGAGGCUCGAAAGCAUGGGUAGCGAACAGGAUUAGAUACCCUGGUAGUCCAUGCAGUAAACGAUGAAUACUAGGUGUUGGAGGGUUUCCGCCCUUCAGUGCCGCAGCUAACGCAUUAAGUAUUCCGCCUGGGGAGUACGACCGCAAGGUUGAAACUCAAAGGAAUUGACGGGGGCCCGCACAAGUGGUGGAGCAUGUGGUUUAAUUCGAUGCUACGCGAAGAACCUUACCAGCUCUUGACAUCUUCUGCCAACCCAAGAGAUUGGGCGUUCCCUUCGGGGACAGAAUGACAGGUGGUGCAUGGUUGUCGUCAGCUCGUGUCGUGAGAUGUUGGGUUAAGUCCCGCAACGAGCGCAACCCUUAUUAUUAGUUGCCAGCAUUUAGUUGGGCACUCUAGUGAGACUGCCGGUGAUAAA
rnacentral:rRNA from 1 species